CCUACGGGGUGCAGCAGUGAGGAAUAUUGGUCAAUGGGCGGAAGCCUGAACCAGCCAAGUAGCGUGCGGGAUGAAGGCCCUACGGGUCGUAAACCGCUUUUGCACGGGGAUAACACCCUCCACUUGUGGAGGUCUGCAGGUACCGUGCGAAUAAGGGCCGGCUAAUUCCGUGCCAGCAGCCGCGGUAAUACGGAAGGCCCGAGCGUUAUCCGGUUUUAUUGGGUUUAAAGGGUGCGUAGGGGGAAUGCCAAGUCAGCGGUAAAAUCGCGGGGCUCAACCUCGCUCCGCCGUUGAAACUGGCGUUCUUGAGUGGGCGAGAAGUAUGCGGAAUGCGUGGUGUAGCGGUGAAAUGCAUAGAUAUCACGCAGAACUCCGAUUGCGAAGGCAGCAUACCGGCGCCCAACUGACGCUGAAGCACGAAAGCGUGGGUAUCGAACAGGAUUAGAUACCCGAGUAGUC
rnacentral:rRNA from 1 species